rnacentral:lncRNA from 1 species
CUGGCUCUGCAGCGCAUCAAUGAGGUCCUUGCUGAAUCUCCAGUCAAGAGCGGGGACAGCAGGGGGUUCCGCCUGUUCGCACUGAAGGUGCGGGCCCUUGUGGGGAUGUUGGACCAGCUGGGGAGAGAAGGGCGAACAGAACUGGAGUGUGGCUCACAUGUGUCACGGCUCUUGUCCAAGCUGCCACAUGACAUGCGCACCCAGUUCAAGCGCUACGUCGACCCCAUUCGGACACCAAUCCCCACACUGCUGGACUUCGCUGAGUGGCUGGAGAAAGAGGUCCGAGUGCAGCAGGAUGAGGUGCCAUUCACGCACUCCAAAGCACCGAUGGAGGAGCGAUCAGACCGCCAGAGAGGCGCCAGGGCGAAGCAAGGCCCAGCGACACGGUCAACCACUGUCCUGCUCGGACGUGACCCCCCUGUAAAGGCAAGCUAUCCAGCACAAGCCCCAUCACGUAACACAGAACCGCCCAAGAAGUACUGCCCGUUCUGUGACGAUAUCCAGCACUUCUUCAAUCAGUGUGCAGCCUUCAAGCAGCUGAACAAGGAGCAGAAGGUGAACUGGAUAAAGGAUGGGAAACGGUGCUGGAGGUGUGGAAGGGACCACCAAGCAGCGCAGUGCUAUCUGAAGGCCAGAUGCCCAAAAUGCAACGGGACCCACCUGGAAGUGCUGCACGACGUGAACGCCAGACCAGAGAAGCAAGCCCCCACCAUUCAGCAUCCAGUCACGUACUACCUCGAUCCUGCCAGGAGGGGUAGCUGUGUGCUGCUGAAAAUGGUGAAGGUGUGUUUGUUCAACGGCGACACCAAGAUGGAAACCUACGCCAUCUUGGAUGACGGGUCAGAGCGCACCAUCCUGCUACAUAGCGCUGCUCAGAAGCUGGGCCUGCAAGGACGGAAGGAGGAUCUGGCACUCCGAACUAUCCGUCAGGAUAUCAGGUCUGUGCCAGGGAGGUCAGUCAACUUCUCUGUUGCAUCAGCCAGUCAACCACACAAGCGAUACAAAAUAGAGCAGGCUUUCACUGCGUCUGAGCUGGGCCUCUCUACCCACUCACACCCGGUCAAAGCCUUGCAAAGGACAUAUCACCACCUCAGGGGUCUGCCCCUUCAGUCAUUUAAUCAGGCCCAACCACUGCUCCUCAUUGGCUCUGAUUAUCCUCAUCUGAUCACCCCGGUCGAGCGUGUGCUCCUAGGCCCACCAGGUGGACCUGCAGCGCUGAAUACACGCCUUGGAUGGACAUUGCAGGGCCCUGCCAAAGUCCUCCUUCAUCAAUCCUCCACCCCUCAAUGUCUAUUUACCAGAGUUCUGACUCCCACCACUGAGCUGCUCCAACAUGUGGCUCAGCUCUGGCAGAUGGAUGUCCUGCCCUACCGUAAUGAGAAGCUCAUUACACGGUCCAAGCAGGACACAGCCGCUGUCAGAACACUGGAGGAGAAGACAGUCAGAGUGGAGGUGGAUGGCAUUGACAGGUAUGCUACCCCCCUCCUGUGGAAGGAAAAGGUCCCGCCUCUUCAAGCCAGCACAGACUCCGUACUGGGCCAUCUGCGUGGGACUGAGAAACGGCUGUUUCAUGAACCGGUCCGCGCAGAGACUUACAGUAAGGAGAUAAAGAAGUUACUGGAUGCUGGCUACAUCAACAAACUUCCCCCUGCUGCAGUGCACACCAGUGAUGAUGCAUGGUAUAUUCCCCAUCACAUGGUCCAUCACAACGGCAAGGACCGCAUCGUGUACAAUUGUUCAUUCACACACCAGGGUGGCAAUUUGAAUGAGCAACUCCUUCCAGGUCCCACACUAGGAUCAUCCUUGCUGGGAGUUCUGCUCCGUUUCAGGCAGUACUCCACUGCAGUGAGCUCUGACAUCAAGGGGAUGUUCCAUCAGGUUCGUCUCCUGCCUCAAGACAAGCCCUUCCUGCGCUUUCUGUGGAGGGACAUGGAGCGAAGCAGGGCACCAGAUGUGUAUGAAUGGCAGGUGCUGCCAUUCGGUACGACAUGCAGUCCAUGCUGUGCCACCUUCGCUCUC